GCCUUCAAUUUACACAUCAAUACACCAAGAGAUUGCCGUUUCCACAGAUUGCAUUGCAUUGGAAUAUGACAAUAUCUGAAUUAUUACAAUAUGAUGGACUUAAGUUCACACUUUGAGUGUUGAUUACUUUAUACCAUAAUAUCAUUCAUCCUGGGAUUUUGUUUGUGUGUGCAGGUUUCUGAGAAACAUGAUCGAGAGGAGCGCUCAGCUAGCGAUGAGAAUUUCAGGGGUUAUGGGCGUGGUUUGGGAGCGUUUUACCCCUAUCAGCAGCCUCAGUACCCAUCCUACUUCCCUUAUGCGCAGCCUUCUCAAGGUAACUCUGCCCUGAUGGCCCUCCUGCCCUUCCUAUUGGCCAGCCUCGCCUCUGCUCCUGCCGCAGCUCCUGCUGCAGCUCCGCUAGCCCCAGCCCCAGCAGCGGGUGGAAAAUGAGAUGGGUGUCGAUAGAGAAAGGAGAAAAAA
rnacentral:lncRNA from 1 species